AGUGUAGAGUGUGGUGUUGAGUGUGGUCUGUAUGGUAUUGGGUGUAUAGUAUAGGGUAUAGGGUGCAGGAUGUACGGUGUGGUGUGUAGAGUGUAGGGUGCAGGGUAUCGGGUGUAGGAUGUACGGUGUAGGGUGUUGAGUGUAGGGUGUUGAGUGUGGUCUGUAUGGUAUUGGGUGUAUAGUAUAGGGUAUAGGGUGCAGGAUGUACGGUGUGGUGUGUAGAGUGUAGGGUGCAGGCUAUAGGGUGGAGGAUGUAUGGUAUAGGGUACAGGAUGUACAGUGUAGCGUGUAGAGUGUAGGGUGCAGGGUAUCGGGUGUAGGAUGUACGGUGUAGGGUGUAGAGUGUGGAGUGUAGGGUGUACAGUAUAAGGUGGAGGGAAUACGGUGUUGGGUGUAAAGAAUCACAUCUUGAUUGCUUGAUUUAAAGUACAUUGUGGUGGUGGAGUACAGAAACAAAAUGAUAAAACUGUGUGUCACUUUCCAAAUACUUAUGGACCUGACUAUAAUUUAUGUGGUGUUUUUUUUAUAGAGAUUAUAUGGUGUUUGAGGAAUAAUUCGAACGACCUGUCACCACUGAGCACACUUCUUAUCACUACAAUAGAACUGGAGUGAGUCCUACCGGGCACGGAUUGGUGGAAGAAGCUGUCCAUUAUUUCGCCAGGACACAGUGGGGGCGG
ensembl:lncRNA